rnacentral:lncRNA from 1 species
AAGUAUUGGUUAAAUUAUUCCCCUCAGAAAAUUUGCAUUGUAACUACUGUUUUUACUUUGUGCAAUUGGUACCAACACACCUAGUAAAAAGGAAAUUCAUUUCAAAUAGUUUCUGAGUUUCAAGACACUGAAUUUUUUCUUUAUAAUAAGUUUCUUAACCUUUAUUCUUUUCCCUUCUUCAGGUUUUCAUGGCUGCAUUUUCAGUAUGUUACAGAACACCUUACAAGAACACAUGCAUAGUUUUUGGCAAAGAUUCUAUAUACAAGACCGCGACAAAAUUACGUGUUCAGUGUUCAUCAGAGUCUACCUCUACUGAGUCUGAGAAGAAACUAAGAUCGUUAGAUUCUUAUUUUGGAAAACUACAACAUAAAACAAAAUUACAUGUUUCUGAUGCAUCAAGUGAGGUGAUGAAGGUGCACCAAGAAAAUGGUCAAUCUGAAUCAAAUCAUGAACUUGAGUCUCUUGAUGAGUAUCUUGGCAAGCUAAAUAAUGGUAAAGUGUAAUUACUUUUUGGUAUCGUAGUUUCUUCUCAUUUUAGUCCUGCAAAUGACGCUUAAAAUCGCGGAUAAAAAGUUAUGUUUAGUGGAUGGUUAAUGAGUUGUGACACCUUGUUAUAUUCAUCAACAUUUACCGAACGUAUCAAAAUUGUUGUUGAAAUUCGUUGUCAACUUUGUGUCAAAAUUCAUCUAUAAACGUUUCUUGUAGUAUUUUCUUAAUGCAUGGUACAAAGAUAAAUAUGUAAAUUUUUUGUAUGCAGGCAUAAACCAAGAAUCUCUUGUGGCAUCUUAUGUUGAAAAUUCCAAGGAUGAAAGUUUAGCUCCGAAACAAAUUCUCAGCCAAGAUACUCAAAGAACAAAUUUUAGGAAACCAAAUACUUAUGUCAAUAUAAGAAGAAUACAAGGUGUUAGUGGUUCAAUAUCUGCUAUAGAUUCACAUGAUCAGCUAAAUGAUACAUCCAGUCUUUACCUCAUGUAAGUCUUGAUCUGUCAUAAAUUCUUGUUUUGUCUUUUCAAACUCUACUCUUGUUGGUAGUACGGAGCGUGACCAAUAAUCACGGUUUAAUUUUUCUAAUAGCAAUUAUAGAGUGAAGAAGUAAGUUGGUCCUCAAAAUUGUAAGCAUCGAUCAAAGAUGUCGGUUUGACCAACACUACAUUUUUAGGGAUGUAUUCGUCAAUAUACAAAAUUCAGGGGCUAUUUUGACAUAUGCAUACAAUUUUGAGGACCAAUUUACCUAUUUUCUCAAUUGUCUAUCAUCUUACAUAUUAUAAAUAACUCUUUUUCAUCCCUCUAUGUUGUUAUGUUUGGUGCAGAGGUAUAUUGGCAUCAGUGAACAUUGGAGUGUUUCUAUUUGAAAUUGCAAGUCCUAUAAGGAAUAAUAACUUAGAGCUGUUUUCACUUCCAAUGCUAUAUGGAGCAAAGAUAAACCAUUUGAUCAUGGUUGGAGAAUGGUGGAGGCUUAUAACACCAAUGUUUCUGGUACAAGAUUGAAAAUUGGGUCUGUGUUUCCAUUCCACAUAUAUAUACAUGAAACUAGUCAUAGUCAUCAUCUAGGCGAAUCACAUCAUUUAACUCUAUUUUCUGGUACAAGAUGGCAUUCACUCACUCGAUAAAGCCAUCUGAGAAAUCAGAAAUAUAGUGCAUCAGAUGUAUCCAAUUGUUUUUAAAAAUCUACCAACCGACUGGUUCAAUCGAUUGAACCAAGAACCAGGUCAUUGGUCGGAUGGUUUCAUGCCGGAUACAUUUCGGUCGGGUUGAACUAGAUUUAGGCGGGGUUUGUUCAACCAAUUUUAAUUUUUUUUAAUACUUUUUUCUUUCUGAUUUAUCAUUUUAAACCGAUAGAACCACUAAACCAUGACCUAAAAGUCUCGCCGGUUUGAUUUCUAGUUAUGUUUUUGAUGAAUCUCAUUGUGAACUUGCUUCAUGUGUGCAUCUUAGCAAAUUUUCAUAUGCAGCAUGCAGGGAUAUUUCACAUGGCUCUGAGUUGUUGGGCCCUUGUAUCAUUUGGGCCUCAAGUUUGCAAAGGCUAUGGUUCAUUUACAUUUUUCUUGAUCUACAUACUUGGUGGAGUUUCUGGCAACUUGGCAAGUUUUCUACAUACACCAGAUCCAACUGUCGGUGGCACCGUAAGUAUCACUCAACAACUCACACAGUCGAUUUCACCCAUUAAAUGGUCUUGGCCGUCGAUUUCAGAUUGUCUAUCUCACAAUAGACAUUCAGCAAAUCUUCUUUAAAUAAUAUUUACAAUUGAUUUGAAGUAAGACAACCAAGAUCAAUAACUGCGUCAUGCAGUUACUGCAUGGAAUCCAAAUUCGACUUUAGUUGUCUUAUAUGAAUUUGCAAUCAGGGACCUGCAUUUGCAAUAAUUGGUGCUUGGCUCAUGUACCAAAUUCAAAAUAGAGAUGUUAUUGAAAAUGAUGAUUCUGAUAAUCUAUUCAAGAAGGCAAUAAUUAUUACAGCUCUUGGUUUCAUCUUAUGCAACCUUGGUCCAAUUGAUGAGUGGUAUGUAUGGCUUACAUUAUUUACAGAAAGUAUUUUGAUUGAUAUAACACAAAAAAAAUGAUAUAUAUACAUUCGGAAAUGUUCAUCGAAUUGAAAAAUAUGAAUAUUUAUUAGGUGGUUAUUCAUUUGUAGGUCACACUCGGGAGCAGCUUUCACAGGCAUGGCAUAUGGCUUUCUAACUAGUCCGGCUCUUCAGCUGGACGAGACAUCACCUGGUACCGAUGGAGAAGGACUCAAACUUGUUACAAAAUACGGUGCUUCAUGCAAAUCACUUGUUAUCUUUGCCAUAUUCGUCGUUGUUUUAAGUUCACUUCUUUUGUUUAUGGAUCCCCCUCUCAAUGCAUUGGCAUCUGUUGUAGCCUUGGAAUAUAUGUCAAUAUUUGGCUGAACUGCAUGAGAGCUUUAUAUGUAAUACACACACAAAAGUUUUUGAUGAUCUUUCUAAAGAUAGAGUAUAAUAUAUAUGAUUCCAAAACAUGAUCCAACAUGGAUUUGAUGAUUUGAAGUGAUAUUUUGUUCCAAAGCUUAGGCUGAAUAUAGAAAUUAUGAACAUGAAUUGAAUAAAAAACAUACGAUUCCCCUACCAAUACCAUUGACGCUUCUCACUAAUUCAUAUACAAAAUAUCAUGCAAUAAAUACAGAUUGCUGAUACAAAUUUGUUGACAGAACUAAAAAACAAAUCCAAGAGUUGUCUGCUACUGAAAGCAAAGCCGCGUAACCUCUCUCAAAAGUGAGGGAAGAAUCAAGCCACAUAAAUACAUAUGAUGUUCUCAUAUAUAAUUGAAGAAAUCACAACUGCCAGAGAAAAUAUUUAAUAGCCUUUGAAUCGAGUUUUGUUGCAUAGCUUGUAGAUCUAGUAGAGGCACAACAACAGAAAAUUUAAUUGGAGAAAAAAAAUCAAAAAAAGAAGAUGCAGGUAAUCAAUGAUAGAAUUAGAUAAAUGGCUUAGAUUUUGUUAUAUCAUCUUAAUAAAUUCAAUCAUCCAGAUAAUGAAUAUGUGUGCCGUUCAACAAAAAUGUAUAUGUGUGCAUGUGCGAAUAUAUCUUAAAUAUCUAAUAGUAAUAAAUAGAUAGAUAAUGAAUCAUUAGAUUACCAAUUCUCUGUAAAUGCGAGAUAACAGGGAUGCAUCGGGAGAUAAAAUUUCAGAGAAACAGCGCCGCAAGCUCCUUGUAAUUGUCAAAGUGAGUGCAACUCAACACAUUUAUAAGGGUUUUAUCGGAGGAAGGGUUUGUGUUAGGUUUAGAGCUGUCAAAAAAACAUCAGAUUGAAAAACCCAUAUGUUUUGGCCUCCUUUAUAGGAAUCCUAAUGAAGUGGGCUUUUCAAUCUGAGGUUUUUUUGACAGCUCUAAACCUAACACAAACCCUUCCUCCGAUAAAAUUCUUAUAAAUGUGUUGAGAAGCACUCAAUUUGACAAUUACAAGGAGCUUGCGGCGCCGUUUCUCUAAAAUUUUAUCUCCCGAUGUAUCCCUCGCAUUUACAGAGAAUUGGUAAUCUAAUGAUUCAUUAUCUAUUAUCUAUUUAUUACUAUUAGAUAUAUUUAAGAUAUAUUCGCACAGCCACACAUAUACAUUUUUGUUGAACGGCACACAUAUAUACUUGCAUGAUUGAAUUUAUUAUAUGAUAUAACAAAAUCUAAGCCAUUUAUCUAAUUCUAUCAUUGAUUACCUGCAAAGCUACUUGACUAGUUUCUAUUAUUAAGCAUCGAUCACAAGGUAGUGACUGAAUCACCAUGUUACUAACAAAGCUAUACUUGGCAUGUAAUUUUACAGUAUACAUCACCAACAAUUUCAAUAUUUACACUCUAAUCAAUUUUGUGGACAAAAUGUAUAUAUUCAUCUUGUCCAUCUUCGCUGGACCCUAAAAAAACCAGUUUUCAUUAGUUGUAGCAGUAACAUAUUCAUGCUUUGACAAGAUAUAUGUAUGUUGUUAUCCUUAAGAAAACUUGCAAGAAUCCAAAUCUUAAUGCUAAUUGGUUUUGAGAAUUACCUUGCAUCCAAAGACUUUUACCAUAAUAUAUGGGAACUCGCUCUCAGUUCUUACAACACCUGAGCUUCGUUUCACUACAAAUAUUAAAAAAAAGAAAAGUUUAAACUGUUGCAAUAGAAGCAGCAUUAAAUUCUUACAAUAUUGAUAGUAAUCAUACAAUGAACCAUGUGCAUUUCUGACAGCAUCCGAACAUUAUUUUCCCACAAUAUGAAAAGAAAAAAAUAUUAACCAUUACUGGCAUAAACAUUAGAUAUCUGAAAAAUAGCAGGAAAUUAAAAAAAUGCAUGAAAGUGCAUCUUAGCAAUCAAAUAAUAAAGCAAAAGAAUGUAAUAGUGUGAAAUAAAAAUGCGUUUCAUUGCAGACUAGUUUACAUAUACCUCAAAAUCAACAUCAACAUUGAUUCAGUUCAUGCAUGUAGCAUCAAAAUCAACAUCAAAGCUAGAAAUCAAAGACAUACAUAUUUUCUUUCUAGUCAUAUUAAACCUAAAAAAAAUCAACAUCCUACAACCUAUCAAAUAUUUUUUUUUACUUUCCAAAUGAAUUUAUGGCUUUAAAAAAGGGUAUGGAAUCACAAUAUAUAAUAUUAAUAUGUUAUCGUCCCACUGCAUCAACAAACAAUACAAAGGAGCUGGAUCAAAUCAACAAAAUGAAAAUAAGGUUAUAAGGAAAAAACAACAAAAAUGAAAAUAAGGUUAUAAGGAAAAAUAAAAAAAGUUUAGAAAACCAACCUAAUGACAAGAUUUGUCACUUGAGUUAUGGUGAAGAUGAAUUGAAAUCGAUUGAAAUGAAAUAGCAUGCAUUGUUUUUUAUUGCAGCGUCACAACAUAAGCAUUUGGAUAAGUGAGGGAGAGAGAUAGAGAGAGAAAGACUAGAGAGAGAGAGAUUUUUGUUUGGAUUGAAAGUGUAAGACACCGAGGCUAAAUAGCGGGGGAAGAGGGUCAAAACAUUGUAUCUUCUCGGUUUAAAACAAAUGGAAAUUUAUGUGAAAGGAAGGAUAUAAUUUUUUUUAAUGUUUUUAUUUUUUUAAAUAUAUACUAAAUGGAAAUACUUACUCACUUCCUUAUAAACAGUAUAAUAAAUAUAGAUUUUUUUUUUUUUUUAUAAUAUUAACAUGUUGAUCUUUUUUCCAAAUAUAAUGAGUAAUAAUUACAAAUUUAAAUUAGUAUUGUUCCUUGUAUAUAAAGUAUGAAAAAUAUAACGAGGUACAAUAGUUAAAGGGUAUCAGAUGUAUUCAAGAUGGAUAUAACACCAAUAAAAAUUUGUACCCAAAAAAAAAAACCUAAGGAAAUAAAAAAAAAUAUAUUAGAUAUUCAUGGGAAAGGACCAAGGGGCCUGAUAUUUGUAACUCAUCCUGGUGCACCUAGUGCUUGAAGGCCUUUUUAGUUAAGUUAAUAUAUUUCAUUUUAAUUUGUUUUUUUUAAAUAAAGGGACUAAAAUUAGACAAAAAAAACUUACAAAACUAAAGUGUAACUCUCAGUGUUUAAAAUAAAAGUUACAUAUAAGUAGAAGUGUCGGGGUUCGAACUCCAAACAUGACGUUUGGUCUAAUUAUUUUGAUAUUUUUGCCGAUUGAGUUAGAAAUUGUUAAUAAAAUAAAUGGAUAUUUUAAUGGAAGGAGAGAGGAAAAAAGUUAGACUAACUAAAUAAUACACCCUCCGGUCACUAAUAUAAGCAAAAUUUCACUUUUUAGAUACAUUCAAUUAAUGAUGUAUGUGGUAUUUAUUGUAUAUCACAUACAUCAUUAAUUGAAUGUAUCUAAAAAGUAAAUUUUUGCUUAUAUUAGUGACCGGAGGGUGUAUAAUAUAACAUUUUGUGGCAACUCAUAAAAAUGUAUUGAUUAUUAAAUUUCUUAUUUUUAGGAUAUAAUAAUUAUCUUAUUAAUUUUUUUUUUAUAAUAAAUUUUGUAUUUAUAUAAUAUUAAUUUAAGUAUGUUAUUAUUAUUAGCAUUAAGAGUUUCCAUUUAAUUAUUAUUUAAUGCUUCAUCUGGGUAAAGUCCUAAGAAAAAGUUAAAGUAUUUGAUCUGAAUUUUCACCAAAUGGUUUUGAACAAGAGUUUCCUUUUAUCUCUUAUAUAAUACCCCCUCCGUCCCAUAUUAAGUGAGAUAGUUGACCAAAAAAAUAUGGUUCUUCAUGCAAAUCACUUGUUAUCUUCGAGAAUUUGUAGUUGUUUUAAGUUCAUUGCUUUUGUUUAUGGAUUUCCCUCUCAAUAUUUUCUUUAUAAUAUGUUUCUUAACCUUUAUUCUUUUCCCUUCGUCGGGUUUUCAUGGCUGCAUUUUCAGUAUAUUACAGAAAACCUUACAAAAACACAUGCAUAGUUCUUGGCAGAGAUUUUCUGCUCAAGACCGCGACAAAAUUACGUGUUUAGUAUUCGUCAGGGUCUACCUCUACUGAGAAGAAACUAAGAUCAUUAGACUUUGAACUAUCAACUUCAAAAUUAAUCACUUCGUUUUGUCCCAAGACUCGUGCUUGGGGGUCGUUGACUGUCAAUAGAACCUCAGAAGGCUUCUAGAAACGUCAAGAGCGUUCCAAACAUAACUUAGGGCCCA